GCGGGUGUGGUGGAAUUGGUAGACACGCCAGAUUUAGGUUCUGGUGCUCUUCGAGCGUGGGGGUUCAAGUCCCUCCACCCGCACCA
rnacentral:tRNA from 1 species